CCUGCCGCUGCUGCAGCAGCUGCGCGACCUCAUCGCGGACCAGGUGCCGCUGCUCAGGAUGGGUCUGGAGGUGCACAAGGCGCGCAUCGCGCCGGCGCUGCAGGGGCUGCACGAGCACAUGGAGCUGUGCUUCCAGCGCGUGCAGAGCCACGUGCACCAGCGCUACGGCCGCAAGAACUGUGAGCUGGAGACGGAGCCGGUGGAGCGGCGCCGCGCGCUACGCGACAGCAUACAGACGGAGCCCGGCAGCGCCAACAACAGGAUAUCUGACAUCUCC